UACAGAGGUCCCAAGCGUUACUGAGCUUCACUGGGUUUAAAGGGUGCGUAGGUGGCGCGUUAAGUCAGUUGUGAAAUCCCCGGGCUCAACCCGGGAAAUGCUUCUGAUACUGGCGUGCUUGAGGCCGGUAUAGGUUACUGGAACGGACGGUGGAGCGGUGAAAUGCGUAGAUAUCGUCUGGAACGCCAGUGGUGAAGACGGGUAACUGGGGCGGUUCUGACACUGAGGCACGAAAGCGUGGGUAGCGAACGGG
rnacentral:rRNA from 1 species